UGGAUUAGGGGCGGGACGGGUGAGUAAACAGGUGAGCAACCUGCCUAUCACAUCGGGAUAGCCUUGGGAAACUGGGAUUAUUACCGAAUGAAACCUUAUGAUUACCUUAUCGAAAUGUCAAAGAUUUAUCGGUGAUAGAUGGGCUCGCGUUUGAUUAGUUAGUUGGUGAGAUAAAAGCCCACCAAGGCAAUGAUCAGUAGCCGGCCUGAGAGGGUGAUCGGCCACAUUGGGACUGAGACACGGCCCAAACUCCUACGGGAGGCAGCAGUGGGGAAUAUUGCACAAUGGAGGGAACUCUGAUGCAGCGACGCCGCGUGAGCGAAGAAGGAAUUCGUUUCGUAAAGCUCUGUCCUAUGGGAAGAUAAUGACGGUACCAUAGAAGAAAGCCCCGGCUAACUACGUGCCAGCAGCCGCGGUAAUACGUAGGGGGCGAGCGUUGUCCGGAAUUAUUGGGCGUAAAGGGUUCGUAGGCGGUAAUACAUGUCAGAUGUGAAAUCUUGUGGCUUAACCACAUCAAGCAUCUGAAACUGUAUAACUUGAGUGGAGGAGAGGUAAGUGGAAUUCCUAGUGUAGCGGUGAAAUGCGUAGAUAUUAGGAGGAACACCAGUGGCGAAGGCGGCCUGCCGGACUGUUACUGACACUGAGGCACGAAAGCGUGGGGAGCAAACAGGAUUAGAUACCCUGGUAGUCCCAGCCGUAAACGAUGGACGCUAGGUGUGGGGGGACGAUCCCCCCGUGCCGCAGCCAACGCAU
rnacentral:rRNA from 1 species